GAUGAACGCUGGCGGCGUGCCUAAUACAUGCAAGUCGAGCGAACAGACGAGGAGCUUGCUCCUCUGACGUUAGCGGCGGACGGGUGAGUAACACGUGGAUAACCUACCUAUAAGACUGGGAUAACUCCGGGAAACCGGAGCUAAUACCGGAUAAUAUAUUGAACCGCAUGGUUCAAUAGUGAAAGACGGUUUUGCUGUCACUUAUAGAUGGAUCCGCGCCGCAUUAGCUAGUUGGUAAGGUAACGGCUUACCAAGGCAACGAUGCGUAGCCGACCUGAGAGGGUGAUCGGCCACACUGGAACUGAGACACGGUCCAGACUCCUACGGGAGGCAGCAGUAGGGAAUCUUCCGCAAUGGGCGAAAGCCUGACGGAGCAACGCCGCGUGAGUGAUGAAGGUCUUCGGAUCGUAAAACUCUGUUAUUAGGGAAGAACAAAUGUGUAAGUAACUAUGCACGGCUUGACGGUACCUAAUCAGAAAGCCACGGCUAACUACGUG
rnacentral:rRNA from 1 species